rnacentral:rRNA from 1 species
GACGAACGCUGGCGGCGUGCCUAAUACAUGCAAGUAGAACGCAGUUGCGAACGGGUUAGUAACGCGUAGGUAACUGCCUCGUAGCGGGGGGUAACUAUUGGAAACGAUAGCUAGUACCCCAUACUUUGAGAUGGACCUGCGUUGUAUUAGGUAGUUGGUGAGGUAAAGGCUCACCAAGGCGACGAUACAUAGCCGACCUGCGAGGGUGAAUGGGCACCCUGGGACUUGGGACCGGGCCAGACUCCCACGGGAAGGCGCAGUAGGGGAUCUUUGGCAAUGGACGGAAGGCUGGACGAGCAAAUGCGCGGUAGUGAAGAAGGUUUUCGGAUCGUUAAGCUCUGUUGUUAGAGAAGCGGUAACUAACCAGAAAGGGACGGCUAACUACGUGCCAGCCGCCGCGGUAAUAC